rnacentral:rRNA from 1 species
UACGGAGGGGCUAGCGUUGUUCGGAAUUACUGGGCGUAAAGCGCACGUAGGCGGCGCAGCAAGUCAGGGGUGAAAUCCCGGGGGCUCAACCCCGGAACUGCCUCUGAAACUGCAGUGCUAGAAUCUUGGAGAGGCGAGUGGAAUUCCGAGUGUAGAGGUGAAAUUCGUAGAUAUUCGGAAGAACACCAGUGGCGAAGGCGACUCGCUGGACAAGUAUGACGCUGAGGUGCGAAAGCGUGGGGAGCAAACA